GACAAGUGAAUCUGCUCAAUGAUUUUUUAAAUUGCUGUGGUAUUUUGACUAUACAAAGGUAUUGUAAUAAGAUUUUAAUUGAAUGCUAAAAGAAUGGAAUUACAGGGAAAAGUUUUUUUAAAUUUAAUAAUUAAAGUUAUUUUAAUUUGUGAAGAAACAAUUAUGAAAAUUAAAGACAAGAAGACCCUAAGAAUUUAUGAAUUUUUGAUAUGUAUAUAUAAAUUAUUUAUACAAAUAAAAUUCUUGGUUGGGGCAACUAAAAAAUAUAUAAAACUUUUUUUUUAUUUAAAAUGACCCAUUAUUAAUGAUUAUAUGGAAAAAAUACUCUAGGGAUAACAGCGUAAUAAUUUUUGAUAGAUCUUAUAGACAAAAUAGUUUGCGACCUCGAUGUUGGAUUAGGAUACUUCUUUAAUGAAGAUGUUAAAGAAAGAAGUUUGUUCAACUUUUAAAUUCCUACUUGAUCUGGUUCCAAAACGGGA
rnacentral:rRNA from 1 species